rnacentral:rRNA from 1 species
AUUGAACGCUGGCGGCAGGCCUAACACAUGCAAGUCGAGCGGAUGAAGGGAGCUUGCUCCUGGAUUCAGCGGCGGACGGGUGAGUAAUGCCUAGGAAUCUGCCUGGUAGUGGGGGAUAACGUCCGGAAACGGGCGCUAAUACCGCAUACGUCCUGAGGGAGAAAGUGGGGGAUCUUCGGACCUCACGCUCUCAGAUGAGCCUAGGUCGGAUUAGCUAGUUGGUGGGGUAAAGGCCUACCAAGGCGACGAUCCGUAACUGGUCUGAGAGGAUGAUCAGUCACACUGGAACUGAGAAACGGUCCAGACUCCUACGGGAGGCAGCAGUGGGGAAUAUUGAACAAUGGGCGAAAGCCUGAUCCAGCCAUGCCGCGUGUGUGAAGAAGGUCUUCGGAUUGUAAAGCACUUUAAGUUGGGAGGAAGGGCAGUAAGUUAAUACCUGGCUGUUUUGACGUUACCAACAGAAUAAGCACCGGCUAACUUCGU